rnacentral:rRNA from 1 species
CCUACGGGGGGCAGCAGUGGGGAAUAUUGCACAAUGGGGGAAACCCUGAUGCAGCGACGCCGCGUGAGUGAAGAAGUAACUCGUUAUGUAAAGCUCUAUCAGCAGGGAAGCAAAUGACGGUACCUGAGUCAGAAUCCCCGGCUAACUACGUGCCAGCAGCCGCGGGAAUACGUAGGGGGCCAGCGUUAUCCGGAUUUACGGGGUGUAAAGGGAGCGUAGACGGCAGUGCAAGUCUGGAGUGAAAGGCGGGGGCUCAACCCCCGGACUGCUCUGGAAACUGUACGGCUGGAGUGCAGGAGAGGUAAGUGGAAUUCCUAGUGUAGCGGUGAAAUGCGUAGAUAUUAGGAGGAACACCAGUGGCGAAGGCGGCUUACUGGACUGUAACUGACGUUGAGGCUCGAAAGCGUGGGGAGCAAACAGGAUUAGAUACCCUUGUAGUC